AACCCUAAUCCUCUGAUACCAAGUAAGAAUAUGAAGGUGCUUGAUGUAUUGAUAGGAGAUGGGGUACAAUAUAUAGACUCACAACCCUAACCCUAAUGGCCCGACAGUCCAACAGUGGUGCCGGCCCACUCACACACACACAGUCUAACAGUUUUUGAUGUCUUAGAAGUUAGAACAGACUGUUAUCGUGGUUGUCAUAUAUGUGUUCAUCUCAAGGUAGAUACUGGUAUGGUGUUUUCUGUUCCAUAUGUUAACACUAUUAGUUAUAUGUUUUAAUGGAUGUAAUGAUAUAUACAGAGGAUGAACAACCUUUUGUUUCAUUCUCAUGUGUGCGCAUGCAAAAAUCCUCAGUGAUGGGUAGUAAUUUCCUUUGAUUAAUUUCAAUAUCAUAUUAUAUUAUUUGCUUAUCUGCAUGGUCUAUCCUGUUCAAGGGAAAUCUCCGGAUACAAGGAGGAAAUCUAGGAAAGGUGCAAUUCAAACUAAUGAUGAAGAAAGCUGAUUCGUUUGUGCUAUGUUGCAAGGGGUAAGGUGAUUUUUACUUUUAUUAGGAACUUGAUAGUAACCAACAUGCUGUCUUAAUGCAUUGACUACCUCUAUUGAAAUUCUUCAUGUUUUUUCUACUUGCUUUGAGUAAUACUUUUUCUAGUGUGUGAAAGGGCCUUUAGCUGAUUUGGUUAGGUGGUCUGAGUAGCACUCAGGUCCAAGUUCGACUCUCUGUGGAACAUAAUUUUAAGCUGGGGUUAAAAAACCUCCCUCGUAUGUCCCACGCCAAGCACAUGUCUAAGGCUUAGUCUCAGUCGCGGUCGUUCUCAUAUGGGCUACGGUGCCACUAUCUAUGGGUGGGGUAGAGGUUCAAGGGUUUUCUCGACUUGUGUAAGAAGGUCUUCUUCUUAAUGUAAUGCUCGGGGGCUGUCUUAACCCUCGUAGGUCGAGUUUUUUUCUCUGGCAUCAAGUUUUAUGGGUGAUUCUGUUUAUCUGUUAUAAUCUGCACCCGAUUACUCCCAUUUGCAGUUUUUGCCCAUCGGUAUGGUUGUGCUGCAAUUUAAUGCUUGUAAGGAAAAAUGACCUAUUUGGGGUUUUCAUGUAUUGAGCUAAUGCGGUUUAGAGAAAUCUUAAUUGUCCAACCUUUUUGUAUUAUGCUUAUAUCCAUUCCCCAGAAGGGCGGGCCUAGUACAGCGAUAGAGCCUACCGUCUAUAAUCGGAAGGUCCCGGGUUCGAGCCCCAGCCUCUGCAUAUUAUGCGGGUAAGGCUUGACGCUUAAAGAUACCCUUCCCCAGACCCCGCACAGUGCGGGAAGCCUACGGCACUGGGUACGUCCCAUUUCCCAUGAGAUUUCAUUAUUCCCUUGGGUAUCAUAGAUUUCCUCAUUAAGAAAUUAUUGAUACAAUAUGACAUUGUCUGUUAAUUCUGUGAAUUGUCAUGUCAGAUAUGCCCCAAAGCACAUUUCUCUUUCCAUGUGCUUCUUCCUGGGAUCUGGAUUAUGUUUUAAAUAUUAAACAGAUGUAGGGUUGCUCAUUAGUACAAAAGGAAAUUGCAAUAGUCAAAUUGGAAUCAUAUAUGGAUCACAAAAAAAGAAGCUGUUAUUUCAUUUGCUGGAAUACUUGUUUUUGGCUAAUAGUUUGUUUCUUUUUUAAAAUAAUGAUGAUGUUUGUGCCUCGGCAAAAUGCUUACCUGAACAAAAGUGAGCUGUAGGCCCACCAAAUUUUGAUAACUGGAUUUCACUUCUGAAAUGUGCAACAAUUUGUUUGUGCUUACGGAUAAUGAGAGUUUGUUAAUAAAGGACUCCUUAAUUCAUGCAGUACCCCUGUCCUUCCAUGUCACAGCCUUACUGAUUAUACAUGCGAUGCACUAACUGCUGCCAUGUAUGGUGGUUAUUGCUGUCUGCGCCACAGGUUCCUGUGACAUUUUUUGAUCUGAUAAUUAAACUAUUGGCUUGCAGGAAUAGGCCUUACAGGUAGUAAGCUUAUGUCUUGCAAGCUAAAUUGCUAAAAUUCAAAUAAAUGAAAUCUACAUGUUAGAUAUGGAAAUGCUCUCUUUUUUAUGUACUCCCUCCGUUCCAAAGCAUUAGCCGUUUUAGCUCUUUGUUUUUAUGUCUGUAUUCAAAUGGAUAAAGAUGAACCUAGACACAUAUAUAAAACACAUACAUCAAGUAUUGUGUGAACCUAUUAAUUAACUAAAACGAAUUUUAAUUUGGGACGAAGGGAGUAUGAUUCUGCCACAUCUCACCAUGCAACAUGGCUGGAGCGAGAAUGGCUGCUCCUACAUGCUUGAAUAUAUGGGGACAAACAUCUUGUCACACUUGGAAAAUCGAAAUUAUGCAAACAGUGAGAUUGUGGUGGACAAGGCCAUGGAUUGCAAAGGUGCAGUUGUACUUACUGGUGAGGUUGAGGUCUACCACCAACAUAAUCUUGUUAUUGCUGUCUGAGAUGGGCUUUGUAGAUUUCUCUUAUAGUUCUUUCACAUGAUUCCUAUAAUCUUGAUGGCACAAUUAUUCGUUAUAAAUUGUCAUGCAAAUUAACUGGGUACAAGAUAAAGAAACUCUAUACAUACCAAAUGUUGACUGAUUCUGCAGUUAGUUAUUACCUAUAUGUACUUAACAUUUGUUAUCUGCACAAGAAGAAUCGUAUUUGAUAUCAUGAUGCCCCUUCGGCCAGGCUCCUAAAAGGAAACGCAGUGCAGAGUUUAAUGACUGCCAUGAUCAAUGUACAUUUGGAUGGGAAUGAGCCAUUUGCUGGUAAACCAUGGCACCUGCUACUGUUGAUGUUGCCUCAUCCGACCUGGAAGAUAUAUCUGUAAAUUCAGGCUGAAGCUCAGGUGGUUAUUGUAUCAACAAGCCCUGGCACAAAAGGCUUCGUUUGUAACAAACUAACAAUAAAGCAUCGAUUGACCUGUUUGCUGAAUGUGUGAUACGGUACUUCCAAUACUAGGUCAGCAUCAGUCCAGAAGCUGUACCCUGAACAAAGAUUCUGGAUGGCUUCUUGUGCCAGCUAGGAACAAUGUAAAAUUGAUGUAAGCGUCUGUGCGCACUCCUGAUCCAUGUACAACUAAGUUAAAAUUUUAAACUGUUAUAGAUUGUUGUAUGGAUAGCUCUCAAUUGCUACUGUUCUCCCCUCAUGUUUUAUGUUUGAUUGUAAAAAAAACUUAAAUUGUCACUCAUUAAGGCAGAAAUACAUGAAUAAAAUAGAGGAUCGAAAGACGCCAGAAUUUUGAAAAACUUAAGAAUUUUCAAAAACAUAGGAAUUCUGUAGGAGUAGCUGUUCGGACGAGUU
rnacentral:lncRNA from 1 species